rnacentral:tRNA from 1 species
UCCCUGGUGGCUCAGAUGGUAAAGUGUCUGUCUGCAAUGCAGGAGACCUGGGUUCGAUCCCUGGGUUGGGAA